rnacentral:rRNA from 1 species
CACCCGUUCCCAUACCGAACACGGAAGUUAAGCUCUUCAGCGCCGAUGGUAGUCGGGGGUUUCCCCCUGUGAGAGUAGGACGCCGCCA